rnacentral:rRNA from 1 species
UACGUAGGGAGCAAGCGUUGUCCGGAAUCAUUGGGCGUAAAGCGCGCGUAGGCGGCUUCGUAAGUCCGUUGUGAAAGUCAAAGGCUCAACCUUUGAAAGCCGAUGGAUACUGCGGAGCUAGAGUACGGAAGAGGCGAGUGGAAUUCCUGGUGUAGCGGUGGAAUGCGCAGAUAUCAGGAGGAACACCAAUAGCGAAGGCAGCUCGCUGGGACGUUACUGACGCUGAGGCGCGAAAGCGUGGGGAGCGAACAGG